CCGGUCACUUGGCAAACUGACUCUCAUGGUCAGGACGCAGAGCCUCCGGUCUAACGGCGUAAGCCCAGGAUAGCGGGGCUGCCAUC
rnacentral:ncRNA from 1 species